rnacentral:rRNA from 1 species
UCUGCUCAAUGUAAUAUUAUAAAUAGCUGCAUUUUUUUGUACUAAGGUAGCGUAAUAACUUGCCUUCUAAUUAAAGGAUAGAAUGAAUGAGAAUCCAAAAAAGAAGCUGUCUCUACAUAAUUAAUAUAAAUUAAUCUACUAGUGAAAAAGCUAGUAUCCUAUAAAAAGACAAGAAGACCCUGUUGAGCUUUUUCUAAAUAUUUUUAGAUUUUGUUGGGGCAACAUAAAUUAUAUAAACCAAUUUACAUUCAUUCGAAUAACAUCAUUUAUUGUAUAUUAUUAAAUACCCUCUUAUAAAGUUACCACAGGGGUAACAGGCUUAUUUUCUUUUAGAGUUCAAAUCAACAAGAAAGUUUGGCACCUCGAUGUUGGCUUAAAGUAUCAUCUAAAUGCAACAGUUU